GUCUGUGCAUGAUGAUGAUGAUGAUGAUGAUGAUGAUCAUCAUCAUCAUCAUCAUCAUCAAUAUCGUCAUCAUCAUCAUCAUCAUCAUCAUCAUCA
rnacentral:pre_miRNA from 1 species